UACAGAGGUCCCAAGCGUUGUUCGGAUUCAUUGGGCGUAAAGGGUGCGUAGGCGGUGCGGUAAGUCGGGUGUGAAAUCUCGGAGCUUAACUCCGAAACUGCAUUCGAUACUGCCGUGCUUGAGGACUGGAGAGGAGACUGGAAUUUACGGUGUAGCGGUGAAAUGCGUAGAUAUCGUAAGGAAGACCAGUGGCGAAGGCGGGUCUCUGGACAGUUCCUGACGCUGAGGCACGAAGGCCAGGGGAGCAAACGGG
rnacentral:rRNA from 1 species